rnacentral:rRNA from 1 species
UCCAACCACAAUGCCCCGUCGAACGGUAGCACAGAGAGCUUGCUCUCGGGUGACGAGUGGCGGACGGGUGAGUAAUGUCUGGGAAACUGCCUGAUGGAGGGGGAUAACUACUGGAAACGGUAGCUAAUACCGCAUAACGUCGCAAGACCAAAGAGGGGGACCUUCGGGCCUCUUGCCAUCAGAUGUGCCCAGAUGGGAUUAGCUAGUAGGUGGGGUAACGGCUCACCUAGGCGACGAUCCCUAGCUGGUCUGAGAGGAUGACCAGCCACACUGGAACUGAGACACGGUCCAGACUCCUACGGGAGGCAGCAGUGGGGAAUAUUGCACAAUGGGCGCAAGCCUGAUGCAGCCAUGCCGCGUGUAUGAAGAAGGCCUUCGGGUUGUAAAGUACUUUCAGCGGGGAGGAAGGUGUUGUGGUUAAUAACCGCAGCAAUUGACGUUACCCGCAGAAGAAGCACCGGCUAACUCCGUGCCAGCAGCCGCGGUAAUACGGAGGGUGCAAGCGUUAAUCGGAAUUACUGGGCGUAAAGCGCACGCAGGCGGUCUGUCAAGUCGGAUGUGAAAUCCCCGGGCUCAACCUGGGAACUGCAUUCGAAACUGGCAGGCUGGAGUCUUGUAGAGGGGGGUAGAAUUCCACGUGUAGCGGUGAAAUGCGUACACAUCUGGAGGAAGACCGGUGGCGAAGGCGAGCCCCUGGACAAUGACUG